rnacentral:rRNA from 1 species
AACGAACGCUGGCGGCAUGCCUAACACAUGCAAGUCGAACGAGACCUUCGGGUCUAGUGGCGCACGGGUGCGUAACGCGUGGGAACCUGCCUUUAGGUUCGGAAUAACAGUGAGAAAUUACUGCUAAUACCGGAUGAUGUCUUCGGACCAAAGAUUUAUCGCCUUUAGAUGGGCCCGCGUUGGAUUAGCUAGUUGGUGGGUAAAGGCCUACCAAGGCGACGAUCCAUAGCUGGUCUGAGAGGAUGAUCAGCCACACUGGGACUGAGACACGGCCCAGACUCCUACGGGAGGCAGCAGUGGGAAUAUUGGACAAUGGGCGAAAGCCUGAUCCAGCAAUGCCGCGUGAGUGAUGAAGGCCUUAGGGUUGUAAAGCUCUUUUACCCGAGAUGAUAAUGACAGUAUCGGGAGAAUAAGCUCCGGCUAACUCCGUG